rnacentral:rRNA from 1 species
CCUACGGGAGGCAGCAGUGGGGAAUAUUGCACAAUGGGCGCAAGCCUGAUGCAGCCAUGCCGCGUGUGUGAAGAAGGCCUUCGGGUUGUAAAGCACUUUCAGCGGGGAGGAAGGCGUUAAGGUUAAUAACCUCAUCGAUUGACGUUACCCGCAGAAGAAGCACCGGCUAACUCCGUGCCAGCAGCCGCGGUAAUACGGAGGGUGCAAGCGUUAAUCGGAAUUACUGGGCGUAAAGCGCACGCAGGCGGUCUGUCAAGUCGGAUGUGAAAUCCCCGGGCUCAACCUGGGAACUGCAUUCGAAACUGGCAGGCUAGAGGCUUGUAGAGGGGGGUAGAAUUCCAGGUGUAGCGGUGAAAUGCGUAGAGAUCUGGAGGAAUACCGGUGGCGAAGGCGGCCCCCUGGACAAAGACUGACGCUCAGGUGCGAAAGCGUGGGGAGCAAACAGGAUUAGAUACCCCGGUAGUC